UCGGACAGGGGUCAAACUGACCAUUUCUUUGUAAGGCUAUGUUAUAGCAGUGUCUUGCCCGGACUUGAUCUCCUCUGACCUCUCCGACCCCUUGGCUUGUAGAAAAUUUCAAUUUCAAAUGGUAGGUCGAUACCACAGCUCAGAGGGUAUUGAGGUCAGGUCUGCUGAGUUUUGCGUUGUAGGCAGAUAGCACCCUUACUACUAGAAAAUCUACU
rnacentral:lncRNA from 1 species